GCCGCUUUGGCCGAGUGGUUAAGGCGAUGGUUUUAAGUAGAGUAUGCACUUAAAUCUGCAUUGCACUUGAAGAAUCACCAUUAACGCAAGUUGCGUGAGUUCGAACCUCACAGGCGGCA